AAGUGGUUAGUCUAAGCAAGACAAUUGAUUUCGACUCAAUAAAUUCAAGUUAAAUUCUAGAACCUCUUU
rnacentral:tRNA from 1 species